AUUGAACGCUGGCGGCAGGCUUAACACAUGCAAGUCGAGCGGGGGAGGUUGCUUCGGUAACUGACCUAGCGGCGGACGGGUGAGUAAUGCUUAGGAAUCUGCCUAUUAGUGGGGGACGACGUUCCGAAAGGAACGCUAAUACCGCAUACGCCCUACGGGGGAAAGCAGGGGAUCUUCGGACCUUGCGCCAAUAGAUGAGCCUAAGUCGGAUUAGCUAGUUGGGGGGGUAAAGGCCUACCAAGGCGACGAUCUGUAGCGGGUCUGAGAGGAUGAUCCGCCACACUGGGACUGAGACACGGCCCAGACUCCUACGGGAGGCAGCAGUGGGGAAUAUUGGACAAUGGGCGGAAGCCUGAUCCAGCCAUGCCGCGUGUGUGAAGAAGGCCUUUUGGUUGUAAAGCACUUUAAGCGAGGAGGAGGCUCCUUUAGUUAAUACCUAAAGAGAGUGGACGUUACUCGCAGAAUAAGCACCGGCUAACUCUGUGCCAGCCGCCGCGGUAA
rnacentral:rRNA from 1 species